rnacentral:rRNA from 1 species
UUAUAAGAGACAGCAGUAGCCGCGGGAAUACCGAGGGUGCGAGCGUUAAUCGGAUUUACUGGGCGUAAAGCGUGCGUAGGCGGCUUCUUAAGUCGGAUGUGAAAUCCCUGAGCUUAACUUAGGAAUUGCAUUCGAUACUGGGAAGCUAGAGUAUGGGAGAGGAUGGUAGAAUUCCAGGUGUAGCGGUGAAAUGCGUAGAGAUCUGGAGGAAUACCGAUGGCGAAGGCAGCCAUCUGGCCUAAUACUGACGCUGAGGUACGAAAGCAUGGGGAGCAAACAGGAUUAGAUACCCCCGUAGUCCCUGUCUCUUAUAC